UACGUAGGGGGCAAGCGUUGUCCGGAAUCAUUGGGCGUAAAGAGCGCGUAGGCGGCCCGAUAAGUCCGCUGUGAAAGUCAAGGGCUCAACCCUUGAAUGCCGGUGGAUACUGUCGGGCUAGAGUCCGGAAGAGGCGAGUGGAAUUCCUGGUGUAGCGGUGAAAUGCGCAGAUAUCGGGAGGAACACCAAUGGCGAAGGCAGCUCGCUGGGACGUUACUGACGCUGAGACGCGAAAGCGUGGGGAGCAAACAGG
rnacentral:rRNA from 1 species